rnacentral:rRNA from 1 species
AUGGUCUUGCCUGACCCGGCCGGUGCUAUUAUCUAUUCCUCUUGUCGGGAACUAAGACUGUGCUCCUCGCCUCUGCAAUCUGAAUUAGUUGCAUGCCUGAAAGGCUUGAACAUAGCGAUUCAAUGGAGUGAUCUACCAAUCAUUGUCCAAACAGAUUGUGUGCAGGCUGUUAAGCUUAUUACCAGCUCAGAUGAGAACCGGUCAACAAACUUGAUGUUGGCGCAAGAGAUCAAGGAGAUUCUCAAAGGAGAUAGAGAAAUUUUAGUCAAGCAUGUUAGACGGGAACAAAACUCGCUAGCCAUUUUUUAG